rnacentral:rRNA from 1 species
GAUGAACGCUGGCGGCGUGCCUAAUACAUGCGAGUCGAGCGAACGGACGAGAAGCUUGCUUUUCUGAUGUUAGCGGCGGACGGGUGAGUAACACGUGGAUAACCUACCUAUAAGACUGGGAUAACUUCGGGAAACCGGAGCUAAUACCGGAUAAUAUUUUGAACCGCAUGGUUCAAAAGUGAAAGACGGUCUUGCUGUCACUUAUAGAUGGAUCCGCGCUGCAUUAGCUAGUUGGUAAGGUAACGGCUUACCAAGGCAACGAUGCAUAGCCGACCUGAGAGGGUGAUCGGCCACACUGGAACUGAGACACGGUCCAGACUCCUACGGGAGGCAGCAGUAGGGAAUCUUCCGCAAUGGGCGAAAGCCUGACGGAGCAACGCCGCGUGAGUGAUGAAGGUCUUCGGAUCGUAAAACUCUGUUAUUAGGGAAGAACAUAUGUGUAAGUAACUGUGCACAUCUUGACGGUACCUAAUCAGAAAGCCACGGCUAGCUACGUG